UACGUAGGGGGCAAGCGUUGUCCGGAAUCAUUGGGCGUAAAGCGCGUGUAGGCGGCCAGAAAAGUCCGCUGUGAAAACUCGAGGCUCAACCUCGAGCUGUCGGUGGAAACUUUCUGGCUAGAGUCCGGAAGAGGAGAAUGGAAUUCCUGGUGUAGCGGUGAAAUGCGCAGAUAUCGGAAGGAACACCAGUGGCGAAGGCGGCUACCUGGACUGAUACUGACACUGAGGCGCGAGAGCGUGGGGAGCAAACAGG
rnacentral:rRNA from 1 species